UACGAUGGGGGCGUAGCGUUGCUCGGAAUUACUGGGCGUAAAGGGCGCGUAGGCGGACAUUUAAGUCAGAGGUGAAAGCCCAGGGCUCAACCUUGGAAUUGCCUUUGAUACUGGAUGUCUUGAGUUCGGGAGAGGUGAGUGGAAUGCCGAGUGUAGAGGUGAAAUUCGUAGAUAUUCGGCGGAACACCAGUGGCGAAGGCGACUCACUGGCCCGAUACUGACGCUGAGGCGCGAAAGCGUGGGGAGCAAAC
rnacentral:rRNA from 1 species